rnacentral:rRNA from 1 species
GACAGAGGGGGCAAGCGUUGCUCGGAAUUACUGGGCGUAAAGGGCGCGUAGGCGGGAUGGCAAGUCGGUCGUGAAAUCCCUCGGCUCAACUGAGGAUCGUCGAUCGAUACUGCCGUUCUUGAGGAUUGCAGAGGAGACUGGAAUUCCCGGUGUAGCGGUGAAAUGUGUAGAUAUUCGGAAGAACACCAGUGGCGAAGGCGGCUCACUGGCCCGUUACCGACGCUCAGGCGCGACAGCGUGGGGAGCAAACAGG